CUCAUAGCGUAUAUUAAUGUUGUUGCAGUUAAAAAGCUCGUAGUUGGAUUCCUGACCUGGGGUAGCCGGUCCGCCUUGCAAAAGGUGCGCACUGAGCGGCCUCGGUCAUCCUUGAGAAGAGCGGUCCUGGCAUUCAGUUGUCGGGGUCGGGAUUCUCGACGUUUACUGUGAAAAAAUCAGAGUGUUCAACGCAGGCUUACGCCUUGAAUACAUUAGCAUGGAAUAAUGAGAUAGGACCUUGGCGGUCUAUUUUGUUGGUUUGCACGCCGAGGUAAUGAUUAAAAGGGACGGUUGGGGUUCUUCGUAUUCAAUUGUCAGAGGUGAAAUUCUUGGAUUUAUGGAAGACGAACUGCUGCGAAAGCGUCGAACAAGGACGUUCUCAUUAAUCAAGAACGAAAGUUAGGGGAUCGAAGAUGAUUAGAUACCAUCGUAGUCUUAACCAUAAACUAUGCCGAUUCAGGAUUGGCGGUCGUCUGUUCUCGACUC
rnacentral:rRNA from 1 species